rnacentral:rRNA from 1 species
GUCGAACGGAUUUUUAUCAUAGCUUGCUAUGAUAAGAAUUAGUGGCAGACGGGUGAGUAAUGCAUAGGAAUCUACCUAGUAGUAUGGGAUAGCCACUAGAAAUGGUGGGUAAUACUGUAUAAUCCCUGCGGGGGAAAGAUUUAUCGCUAUUAGAUGAGCCUAUGUUAGAUUAGCUAGUUGGUAGGGUAAAGGCCUACCAAGGCAGUGAUCUAUAGCUGGUCUGAGAGGAUGAUCAGCCACACUGGAACUGAGAUACGGUCCAGACUCCUACGGGAGGCAGCAGUGGGGAAUAUUGGACAAUGGGCGCAAGCCUGAUCCAGCUAUGCCGCGUGAGUGAGGAAGGCCUUAGGGU